UACGGAGGGUGCAAGCGUUAUCCGGAUUCACUGGGUUUAAAGGGUGCGUAGGAGGGCAGGUAAGUCAGUGGUGAAAUCCCCGAGCUUAACUUGGGAACUGCCGUUGAUACUAUCUGUCUUGAAUACCGUGGAGGUGAGCGGAAUAUGUCAUGUAGCGGUGAAAUGCUUAGAUAUGACAUAGAACACCAAUUGCGAAGGCAGCUCGCUACACGAAUAUUGACGCUGAGGCACGAAAGCGUGGGGAUCAAACGGG
rnacentral:rRNA from 1 species